rnacentral:rRNA from 1 species
UACAGAGACUGCAGGCGUUAUUCGGAUUCACUGGGCGUAAAGGGUGCGCAGGCGGCCAAGUGUGUGAGGCGUGAAAGCCUGGGGCUUAACCCCAGAAUUGCACCUCAAACUACUUGGCUAGAGCAUUGGAGAGGGUAGCAGAAUUCAUGGUGUAGCAGUGAAAUGCGUAGAUAUCAUGAGGAAUACCAGAGGCGAAGGCGGCUACCUGGACAAUUGCUGACGCUCAGGCACGAAAGCGUGGGGAGCAAAAGGG